GCAAUCAGCGUCAGUAACAACGUAAUUAAUUACAACUUUCAACAACGGAUCUCUUGGUUCUGGCAUCGAUGAAGAACGCAGCGAAAUGCGAUACGUAGUGUGAAUUGCAGAAUUCAGUGAAUCAUCGAAUCUUUGAACGCACAUUGCGCCCUUUGGUAUUCCAAAGGGCAUGCCUGUUCGAGCGUCAUUUGUACCCUCAAGCUUUGCUUGGUGUUGGGCGUCUUUUGUCUCCAGCUCGCUGGAGACUCGCCUUAAAGUCAUUGGCA
rnacentral:rRNA from 1 species